CAAACUUCUACAAUUGGACCCAAAAAAAGUUCAGCUAAUAAAAAAGAUUAUGGAUUCUAUUAUAAUAUUUAGUCUACCUGCUCUCGUGAUAAUAAUCUGCAAUUUUCUGAUCGGAUAUCACAUUUAUCAGCAAAAUCGUGUUCGCAAAACCUUGGUUACAGCGUCCGAUUCCUCUAAUGAGAGAACUCAGAUUUUUAAGGAUAAAAUGCUUCAGCAUAAGAUCACAAAAAUGCUUAUUCUCGUUUCGAGCAUAUUUCUAAUCUUGAAAUUACCUGCACAUUACUUUUAUUACUUUAGGAAUUACUUCCGUGAAUAUGUCGAUGUGUUUGUUGUGAUAACAAUAUUCGACUUAUUAGACACAGCACAUUACAGUAUAAAUUUGUUCUCUAUUGCGCAACGGGACAAACUUUUCGCAGAGAACUAAUCCACAUGUUUACGAAACGUACAAAUAUGAGAAAAACAGAAAUAUCAAAGAGAUGUACAAUUAUAAAUAACAGUAUAAUUGAUGUCCAGUUAUGCAGUAAUAAUAAGGUUUACGUCUAAUCGCACUUCAAACAAAACAGUGUAUUUGUUAACAACGAACAACUGAAAGUUUCUCAAGAGAAGCUAACACUUCUGACAUACACGAGAGAUUAUAAUAUGGUAUACAUUAUAACUUCAUAAAAAUAUAAUUAACUACAAAUAGCUAAAUAAGAUAGUUAAACAUAUUAUUGUAUUAAAAGUGUUAAAAAUAAAUCAAAAACAACAAUUGGAAAAAUCUACUACCUACAUAUAUGUACAUGUAGGUAGUAUGUACAAUGUUUUAGCGCAUCAUACAGAAAACAACAGUUUUAUCAAUUCUAUUAAUGAAUGUGGACCUAUAUAUUUUAGAAAAAAAUGUUGAUUUAAUUAUUUGAAAUAGGAAAAUUAUGACAUCAUAGAUUGUAAUACAAAGACCAUUUGUUGUCAUCAAACUUAUGUAAAUAACUCGUUUAUUCAUUACAAGAAUAUUUUCUAAAG